rnacentral:rRNA from 1 species
AUCCGCUGUGGGCGUAAGGGAAUUGAGGAGAGCUGCCCCUAGUACGAGAGGACCGGGGUGGACGGACCAAUGGUGUUCCAGUUGUCGUGCCAACGGCAUAGCUGGGUAGCUACGUCCGGGAUGGAUAACCGCUGAAAGCAUCUAAGUGGGAAGCCAGCUCCAAGAUGAGUUCCCUCGCUAGGGUCAAACCUAGGUAAGUGCGCUGGAAGACGACCAGUUUGAUAGGCAGGGCGUGUAAGGGCAGAGAUGUCUUCAGCUAACCUGUACUAACGCACGAGGGCUUAAUCGU